rnacentral:rRNA from 1 species
AACGAACGCUGGCGGCAUGCCUAACACAUGCAAGUCGAACGUGAUCCGGGGCUUCGGCUCCGGUGAAAGUGGCGGACGGGUGAGUAACGCGUGGGAACCUGCCCAGUGGUAGGGGAUAACCGCGGGAAACUGCGGCUAAUACCCUAUGCGCCCUAUGGGGCAAAGAUUUAUCGCCAUUGGAGGGGCCCGCGUCGGAUUAGGUAGUUGGUGAGGUAACGGCUCACCAAGCCUUCGAUCCGUAGCNGGUCUGAGAGGAUGAUCAGCCACACUGGGACUGAGACACGGCCCAGACUCCUACGGGAGGCAGCAGUGGGGAGUAUUGGACAAUGGGGCAACCCUGAUCCAGCAAUGCCGCGUGAGUGAUGAAGGCCUUAGGGUUGUAAAGCUCUUUCGGCGGGAAGAUGAUGACGUACCCGCAGAAGAAGCCCCGGCUAACUUCGUGCCAGCCGCCGCAGUAAG